UACAGAGGUCCCAAGCGUUACUGAGAAUCACUGGGUUUAAAGGGUGCGUAGGUGGUCCGUUAAGUCAGUUGUGAAAUCCCCGGGCUCAACCCGGGAAAUGCUUCUGAUACUGGCGGACUUGAGGCCAGUAGGGGUCACUAGAACUGACGGUGGAGCGGUGAAAUGCGUAGAUAUCGUCAGGAAUGCCGGUGGUGAAGACGGGUGACUGGGCUGGUUCUGACACUGAGGCACGAAAGCGUGGGGGAGCGAACGGG
rnacentral:rRNA from 1 species